UGAGGGAUAUUGGGCAAUGGGGGAAACCCUGACCCAGCGACGCCGCGUGAGGGAAGACGGUCUUCGGAUUGUAAACCUCUGUCUUUGGGGACGAAAAAGGACGGUACCCAAGGAGGAAGCUCCGGCUAACUACGUGCCAGCAGCCGCGGUAAUACGUAGGGAGCGAGCGUUGUCCGGAAUUACUGGGUGUAAAGGGAGCGUAGGCGGGAUUGCAAGUUGGAUGUGAAAAACUGCGGGCUCAACCCGGAGAGUGCAUUCAAAACUGCGAUUCUUGAGUGAAGUAGAGGCAAGCGGAAUUCCUAGUGUAGCGGUGAAAUGCGUAGAUAUUAGGAGGAACACCAGUGGCGAAGGCGGCUUGCUGGGCUUUUACUGACGCUGAGGCUCGAAAGUGUGGGGAGCAAACAGGAUUAGAUACC
rnacentral:rRNA from 1 species